rnacentral:rRNA from 1 species
CAGGAUUAGAUACCCUGGUAGUCCACGCUGUAAACGAUGAGUGCUGGAUGUGGGGGUUUUUACCUCCGUGUUGUAGCUAACGCGUUAAGCACUCCGCCUGGGGACUACGGUCGCAAGACUAAAACUCAAAGGAAUUGACGGGGACUCGCACAAGCGGUGGAGCAUGUGGUUUAAUUCGAUGCAACGCGAAGAACCUUACCACUUCUUGACAUGAAGAUUAGAUCCUCCUUAACAGGAGGGCGCAGUUAGGCUGGGUCUUGCACAGGUGCUGCAUGGCUGUCGUCAGCUCGUGUCGUGAGAUGUUGGGUUAAGUCCCGCAACGAGCGUAACCCUCACCCUUAGUUGCCAGCGGGUAAAGCCGGGGACUUUAAGGGAACUGCCAGUGGUAAGCUGGAGGAAGGUGGGGAUGAUGUCAAGUCAGCAUGGCCCUUAUGGGGUGGGCUACACACGUGCUACAAUGGUGACUACAAUAGGUUGCAAUGUCGUAAGGCUGAGCUAAUCCGGUAAAAGUCAUCUUAGUUCGGAUUGUCCUCUGCAACUCGAGGGCAUGAAGCAGGAAUCGCUAGUAAUCGUGGAUCAGCAUGCCACGGUGAAUACGUUCUCGGGUCUUGUACACACUGCCCGCCACGCCAUGGGAAUUGGCUUAACUC